rnacentral:rRNA from 1 species
UGGGGAAUAUUGCGCAAUGGGCGGAAGCCUGACGCAGCGACGCCGCGUGGGGGAUGACGGCCUUCGGGUUGUAAACCCCUUUCAGCAGGGACGAAGCUAACGUGACGGUACCUGCAGAAGAAGCGCCGGCUAACUACGUGCCAGCAGCCGCGGUAAUACGUAGGGCGCAAGCGUUGUCCGGAAUUAUUGGGCGUAAAGAGCUCGUAGGCGGUUUGUCGCGUCUGUCGUGAAAGCCCACGGCUUAACCGUGGGUCUGCGGUGGAUACGGGCAGACUAGAGGCAGGUAGGGGAGAAUGGAAUUCCCGGUGUAGCGGUGAAAUGCGCAGAUAUCGGGAGGAACACCGGUGGCGAAGGCGGUUCUCUGGGCCUGUACUGACGCUGAGGAGCGAAAGCGUGGGGAGCGAACAGG